rnacentral:rRNA from 1 species
GACGAACGCUGGCGGCGUGCUUAACACAUGCAAGUCGAGCGGUAAGGCCCUUUCGGGGGUACACGAGCGGCGAACGGGUGAGUAACACGUGGGUGACCUGCCCUCAGCUCUGGGAUAAGCCUGGGAAACCGGGUCUAAUACUGGAUAUGACUCCAUGACGCAUGUUGUGGGGUGGAAAGCCUUGUGCGGCUGAGGAUGGGCCCGCGGCCUAUCAGCUUGUUGGUGGGGUGANGGCCUACCAAGGCGACGACGGGUAGCCGGCCUGAGAGGGCGACCGGCCACACUGGGACUGAGACACGGCCCAGACUCCUACGGGAGGCAGCAGUGGGGAAUAUUGGACAAUGGGCGAAAGCCUGAUCCAGCCAUGCCGCGUGGAUGAAGAAGGCCCUAGGGUUGUAAACCUCUUUGUCGGGGAAGAAACGCUCCGGGCUAAUACCCCGGAGUAAUGACGGUACCCGAAGAAUAAGCACCGGCUAACUACGUGCCAGCAGCCGCAGUAAG